GCCUACAGCCACACCACCCUGAAAGCACCCGAUCCCGUCCGAUCUCGGAAGUUAAGCAGGGUCGGGCCUGGUUAGUACUUGGAUGGGAGACCGCCUGGGAAUACUAGGUGCAGUAGGCU